GUGCUCGCUUCGGCAGCACAUAUACUAAAAUUGGAAUGAUACAGAGAAAAGCAGCAUGGCCCCUGCGCAAGGAUGACACGCAAAUUCGUGAAGCGUUCCACAUUUUC
rnacentral:snRNA from 1 species